rnacentral:rRNA from 1 species
UACGUAGGGUGCAAGCGUUGUCCGGAUUUAUUGGGCGUAAAGAGCUCGUAGGCGGUUUGUCGCGUCUGCUGUGAAAGCCCGAGGCUCAACCUCGGGUCUGCAGUGGGUACGGGCAGACUAGAGUGCGGUAGGGGAGAUUGGAAUUCCUGGUGUAGCGGUGGAAUGCGCAGAUAUCAGGAGGAACACCGAUGGCGAAGGCAGAUCUCUGGGCCGUUACUGACGCUGAGGAGCGAAAGCAUGGGGAGCGAACAGG